rnacentral:lncRNA from 13 species
AUGUUAAAUGUGAACAGGUUGAGAGCGGACUUGAGUGAAACCAUGCAGAGAGAGACUCUGACGAUCAUUCUCCUUUUACUCUGUGCUGGGCUUCCAGGUGACUGUGGAGUAAUAGAGUUUCCCGUACUCCAUUCUGAUAUAACCGGCUGUAUGAAAAUGACAUGUGCCAGGAGUAUCAAUGCCUGUGUGGACACACAUGGACAGGCCCCCACAGAACAGCUCAAAGGUUGUGUUGUCCACAAAUGUAGGAAAAUCACCAACCGCUGUGUAGAUCAGUUCUUCCAACAGUACCUACCCCUGUUAUUGGCACAAAAUCCAAAAGUUGCCUCAAUUGUCGAACCAAAUGCCAAGCUUUUCAUGGCUGAAAUGACAGAUGCUUAUCUUGAAUGCUGGCUCGAGACGACAGACUCCGAAGUCGGAGGUUGUUUUAUGGGCAGACUCAUUGAUAAGGCACAGCCGUUCAUUACCCAUUUGUCUGCAUUGAUCUUUGAUGAUCCAGUUGCUGUGAGCUGUUGGCUCUUCCAUGCUUUGAAAGGAAUGGUAAGCUGCUAUGGUCAGCUAGAUGACAACUACAUCAAGGAACUGAAAAAAAGGGCAGAGAGAGAGAUGAAAGACAAUACGUUACGUUAUAUGACAUGCAUGAGCAAACCCAUGACAAACUGGAACUGGUGUCAAGGACUCUUUGAUGAUCUUUUUGCUUCAUCACCAAAGAGGAAACGACAGUACAAAGACUUCCUCAUCUGUUCAAUCCACGGUGGGAUUACUGCAACAGCGAAAUGCUAGAACUUGUUUUACGAG